rnacentral:rRNA from 1 species
UACGUAGGGUGCAGGCGUUAAUCGGAAUUACUGGGCGUAAAGCGUGCGCAGGCGGUUAUGCAAGACAGAUGUGAAAUCCCCGGGCUUAACCUGGGAACUGCAUUUGUGACUGCAUGACUAGAGUACGGUAGAGGGGAAUGGAAUUCCGCGUGUAGCAGUGAAAUGCGUAGAUAUGCGGAGGAACACCGAUGGCGAAGGCAAUUCCCUGGACCUGUACUGACGCUCAUGCACGAAAGCGUGGGGAGCAAACAGG